rnacentral:rRNA from 1 species
CAGUUUGAUCAUGGCUCAGGACGAACGCUGGCGGCGCGCUUAACACAUGCAAGUCGAGCGAGAACCAGGGCUUCGGCCCUGGGGACAGCGGCGAACGGGUGAGUAACACGUGGGUAAUCAACCCCCGACACCGGGAUAGCCCAGGGAAACUUGGAUUAAUACCGGAUGCUCCGUCUGGCCUUCGGGCCGGCCGGAAAAGGGUAGCUUCGGCCUCCGGUCGGGGACGAGCCCGCGGCGGAUUAGCUUGUUGGUGGGGUAAAGGCCCACCAAGGCGACGAUCCGUAGCUGGUCUGAGAGGAUGGCCAGCCACACUGGAACUGAGACACGGUCCAGACUCCUACGGGAGGCAGCAGUGGGGAAUCUUGCACAAUGGGCGAAAGCCUGAUGCAGCGACGCCGCGUGGGGGAUGAAGCUUUUCGGAGUGUAAACCCCUUUCGACCCGGACGAAUGCCCCGCAAGGGGACUGACGGUACGGGUAUAAGAAGCCCCGGCUAACUACGUGCCAGCAGCCGCGGUAGUCGGGCCCAAUCGC